ACGUAGGCAGCAAGCGUUGUUCGGAAUUACUGGGCGUAAAGAGUGCGUAGGUGGUGUUCCAAGUCUGGUGUGAAAUCUCCCGGCUCAACUGGGAGGGUGCGCCGGAAACUGGAAUGCUUGAGGGUGGGAGAGGUAAGCGGAAUUCCUGGUGUAGCGGUGAAAUGCGUAGAUAUCAGGAGGAACACCUGUGGUGUAGACAGCUUACUGGACCACUUCUGACACUGAGGCACGAAAGCGUGGGUAGCAAACAGGAUUAGAUACCCUGGUAGUCCACGCCCUAAACGAUGCAUACUUGGUGUGAGUCAUUCAUUUGAUUCGUGCCGGAGCUAACGCGUUAAGUAUGCCGCCUGGGGAGUACGGUCGCAAGGCUG
rnacentral:rRNA from 1 species